rnacentral:rRNA from 1 species
GAUGACGACCGAGCUUGCUCGGUCUGAUUAGUGGCGAACGGGUGAGUAACACGUGAGCAACCUGCCCUUCACUCUGGGAUAACCUCGGGAAAUCGGGGCUAAUACCGGAUAUGAGCUCCUGUCGCAUGGCGGGUGUUGGAAAGUUUUUCGGUGAAGGAUGGGCUCGCGGCCUAUCAGUUUGUUGGUGAGGUAGUGGCUCACCAAGGCGAUGACGGGUAGCCGGCCUGAGAGGGCGACCGGCCACACUGGGACUGAGACACGGCCCAGACUCCUACGGGAGGCAGCAGUGGGGAAUAUUGCACAAUGGGCGAAAGCCUGAUGCACCGACGCCGCGUGAGGGAUGACGGCCUUCGGGUUGUAAACCUCUUUCAGCAGGGAAGAAGCGAAAGCGACGGUACCUGCAGAAGAAGCGUCGGCUAACUACGUGCCACCAGCCUCGGUAAUACGUAGGGCGCAAGCGUUGUCCGGAAUUAUUGGGCGUUAAGAGCUUGUAGGUGGCUUGUCACGUCUGCCGUGAAAACCCGAGGCUCAACCUCGCGCGUGCGGUGCGUACGGGUAGGCUAGAGUGUGGUAGGGGAGACUGGAACUCCUGGUGUAGCAGUGAAAUGCGCAGAUCUCACGAAGAACACCGAUGGCGAAUCUCGGGCUCUGGGCCAUUACUGACACUGAUAAGCCAAAGCAUGGGGAGCGAACAGGAUUAGAUCCCUGGUUUCCAUGCCAAAACUUGGGCCUAGAUUGGCGACAUUCCCGUUUCCGGUCAUACUAAGCAUAAGGCUCCCUGGGAGACGGCGCGUGUAAACUCAAUGAUUGCCGU